rnacentral:lncRNA from 1 species
GGCACUUGCAAAGUAUCCCCGUUGUAAUAUCUAGACCAAUCUCUGCCAGUAAAUUAAUGUGAUAUUUCCCCUGGUUUGAUCAUUGUUCUUGUAUUUGUGACUUCCUCUUAUGUAAGUAGAGGUUGUGUAGCUAUCAAUUAUUUAUCUGUUUUGGGUGCUUUUGUCGAGGUACACGAGCUAUUGAUGAACUGGAAUCGUAUGCAGUUUAUGGUAGUUCUGUAUUUGGGCUCAUCAUGUUCCACGUAAUGCUUAGUGACCCGGAUAUUCAAAAUGGAGCAUGAUAAAAAUCCCAACAUAACAAACUAGAAACCGAAAUCACUAAUUGAUUGCAACCUGUGAGUUUUCUCUUUCUUCUAGAUUUGUUUAUUCAAACAUUUUAUCUAUUAAACCGUACGUUCAAAUCUCGCACCGCUUUCAUAGUUGGAUUCCUUGCGUCAAGUGUUUCAAAGCUAUAACCUAUGUUGGUAGGUUUUAAUGUGCUUUCAUUUUCAAGAAAAAAAUCAGUAGUAAAAACCGGACAAAAAAUUGAACCGGGAGCAUACUUUUUUCCUUUAUGAAAGAGGCAUGGCCGUGCGUCUCGUGAAAUCACAACCGUGUCUCUCACGAAAGAAAAAAAAUAAAAUAAAAAACGUAUUUUUUUUGUUUUUGAGAGGCACAGUUCGCGAAAGCACAACUAUGCCUCUCGCUGAAGUAAAAUCGUGCCUCUCGCGGAAGGAAAAGAAAGCAGAAAACAUGUUUUUUUCGUUUUCGAGAGUGUGCCUCUCGCGAAAGCAAAACUGUGCCUAUCAGGGAAACAAAAUCGUGCUUCUCAGGAUGAAAAAACCCAGAAAACACGCUUUUUUUGUUUUCAUUUUUGAAAGGCUCAUUCGUGCCUCUCGCGAAAGCAAAACCGUGUCUCUCGCGGAAAUAAAACCGUUCCUAUGAUAGAAGAAAAAAAACAUGUUUUUUUCGUUUUUGAGAGGCAUGGUUGUGCUUCUCUCAAAAGCAAAAACGUGCCCCUCGCAGAAGCAAAAUCGUGCCUCUGGUGGAAGAAAAAAAACAUGUUAUUUCGUGCAAAAUAAAUUUUAUUUCUCAAAAUUUUUUGUCCCAAAAGCUAAGGAAGACCGGUUGAAAACCAAAACAUCAAAAAAAUCCAGAAAAACCCGUUUAAUAAGUCGAAAACCCGUGCAAAAAAAUAUUCGAAUGAAGCGCCCAGAGCGCGACACGUGGCGGGCGGCUGAGAGCGCCCCAAGUGACGCUAAUCGUUGUGAGGCUCCGAAGGAGCAUUUGUCAACUAGUUGCUCCCAUUAGAAACGUUUCUGGAAAAACCAAAGUAGAAACCUCAUCUACCUCUCGCUCGCGUCAUCUCUUCUAGGAGACCCAGGGGCCCCAAAACCUAGUGUCGCCAGGCCCAUCCAUCAACUGCUCCCCUCCCAUCGCUGCUAGCGGCCUUUGCUGCGGUGGUGGCGGCCCCAGUUCCUCAAGGGGAUGGGGGACCUCUGACGGUAGCUUAGGGCUUGGUGGAUCGUGGGUCCCGAGGCGGUGGUUUCGUUUUUCGCGGCGACGGUAGCUGCUAUGGCCGCUAGAACGGUGUGCUGGUCAUGCUUAGGCGUCGGUGUCAGCGUCGUUGCUUUCGGGGGUCGCCUUGAAGAGCAUUGGAUCCUGUUUGUGCGCUUCAUGGCUGGACGCUUGCGGCAUUGUGGCUGACAAGUGUUCGUAUGUUGUGUGACUUCUUGUCUGGCAAUGAUGGCGACUUCGGGCGGAAUUGGGCUGUAAUCGAGCUUUGGUGGUCGGUCUCAUCGGAUGUGUUCGAGGGGUCGCCGUGCAUCAUUUGUCUUCCUGAAGUCAGAGCUACAAAGACGGUGCCCCACGGUGAUGAUAACAUGAGACGGGUGGUCGGUUCCCAUGCCGGCUCGGCGUAGGCUCAACGCUUUUCCCCUGCAAUGCUCAUCGACAGAGUUGGAGUUGUAUGUUCAUCGGCGCGUGCGAUUGACUGUUUGGCAUCGGCCGCCCAGGCGUCUGUGCUUGUUUGAGGUGGGGGCUACAUCGGUGGUCAUUGAUGGUUGAGUCGGAGUCGUCCUCACGAAGGAGUAAUAACGAUGACACUGAAAUGCAACCUCGCCGGCAUUUGUCUCCUCGAUGGUGCGUGUGCAUUCUUGUAUGGAUUGCCAGGUUACCCCGUAUGCCUUGUUUUUGCAGGCAUAAUGUAACAGAUUUGCCCUAUUUUCCAUUAGUUAGUCGGGCAUCUCUCUUCUUGCUUGAUGAAUUCUAGACCCUUGGGACCGGCUUAAAAAAAUGUAGCUUGAUCUCAUAUGUACCCAGAUGAAUCGGUGGAUCACUGAUUUUGCCUUUUUCGUAGAGGACUACGAAUAUCAGUUCUUCAUUAAAAUGCGUAUAUAGUUUUUUUUAGAGUACGCCUAAACGUAUCAUAUUUUAAUAGAAGGCAGAAGACAAAUAUAAAAAAAUACAACUUGUUACGAAUAACAAGUGUAGUUGAAAAUCUACACCCAAGCUAAUCAAACGAUUAGUCACCGCAACUAAUACAAACACAACACAAAGGGGCAUGCCCUAAACAGAUCGUCAAGCCACAUCUUGACAUGCACCAGACACUUCGAAGAGCAACAAUUUCAACGGAGCUUUUUCCUUGUCUGCGCACCAACCACCCUUUAAUGCCUAAGAGGAGACUACGAGUGGGUAGUGGCAUUCAGCCGGACCCGAGAAAGCCAUCGUCUUGGACUCACUGGCUGUUGCUUAAGCGCCCAUGAAGAUCAACUCAAACCAGCGACAAGCACCGGAGAACCAGUGCAAAGAACCUCCAAGUCAUGUCUUCAUAGACGAUGCUCCCAACAGAGUAACGCCACCAUCGCCGGUCCGGCAACGAACCUAGGCUUUCACUCGGAGACAACAAUUCGCUGAGAGGAGUGAUGGCGACACACCCUAAAGACGUCUCCAAGGAGGGAGACGAUACCGACGGGCGCCGUCGCCGCCAACACCAAUCGAAGAUGUGCACGAUUUUCAUCCGUAACGUCGUAGAUCUUCCCCCAUCCCAUUGGAUUGCGGCCAUAUUGUGCAUGUAGUGUCACAUAGCUGCCGCCGCAACACCUCGUCAUCGUGGCCAUAGCGCGGCGAAGCACCAACACCCCGCACGGCGGAGGAAAUGCAUUCUGAUAAGGACAUCUCUGCCACAGUUGCACCCACCGUGAUUCCUACAUCAGUUAUUUCAUCUAGACCUAUGACUAGAGCACGCGCGAGACAGAUAAAUGGCUAGAUACUAUCGCUUCUCUGUACAUAUGAUUUAACUAACGAGAAUGUGAUAUUACACUCAUGUUCGGAUUUACUUGUACUUAGGAACGAAGGUGUUGAAGAGAUGACGAGGGAAAGCCGCAUGCAAAUGAAAGAUGGAAAAUGUUGCAUGUUGAUUCCACAAGCAGCAACACUAUUGACAUGCAAGAAGCUAUCUAGCCACCUACGUGCUCAAGUGCAACAGGAGGAGGAAGAGUAUUAGGCCUCCUGGACCAGAGACGGCCACGUUCGCAUGCAGCCCACACCACUAACAGUUAAACAAGGAAAUCAUCUACAUGUGGGCCGGCUCAUGAUUAUGAUCUCCUUCGAGUCGUAGCCGACCAGGAUUCAUCCACGCGCAGGCGGUGGACGCGCCUAAUAAAUAGUUAGCUUGUAUUACGUUUAGACUCGAGUUUUAUUGUAUUGUUUAGCCAUCGCUAUAAUUUCGCAUCUACGAGAUGUGUGAAACUACCGUCUUGUCAGAUCCGUAGUGAAACCCUAACUUUUGAUCUAGUUCGUGUGCUUAAUUUUGAUCUAGUUUAUGUGCUUAAUUUUUCAUCCGCAAUUUCAGAUUACAAUUCACCUUUAUUCUUGUUGGUUCUUCGGUUGCUUGCUGGAACUCGAACCUCGUUAUUCAGGUUGAUCGUGCCUACGACAAUCUCAAUAACUAUCGGAGAUUGGUUUAGCGAUUGUCGCGGCGUUUCGUCGGGUACGGUAUAGCUGGAUCGUCAACGUCAAAAUCCAUCAAAUUGAUAGUUAUCCCCACUCUUAUCGAAAGAUCGGGCCGCCGUCACAUCAAGUGGUAUCAGUUUUUGGGUUUAUCAGUGAGAGAUUUACAGUUUUAGUAGAUUAGUUUAUUUUUCCGUCCUAUAAACCCACGAAAAAGCCAAAAAAGAUUAAAUUAGUUCAUCCGCCGCACCUAUCUUUUUAGCCUUUAGCAAUUUUUGCAAUUUGCGUAGUUUAAUUUUUGGUUGCAUUCAUCCUAGAAUUAGUGCUGGUUUAGAUUAGUUGGGGAAGAAAAUCAUUUACUAGAUCAAUCUGCUUUUGUCCACCCUCAUAUUCUCUAUCGCAAUGCGUUCUCAGUCAAAAAAAAGAGACAUAUAGCGAACCAGGCACUAAUUUCCAUUGCAGAUUCCCGCACGUACAUCGACCCAUCCAUACAGGCUUUCUGUUUCGCGAGCGGCCAGACAACCCGGCACAUUGUGUUUGCUGCCUCGCGCCGCAUCACCACAGGCUAACAUGCCAGCCGCCGGACAUCCCACGCUGGUUGUCCGACUCCACGCGUGCCACCACAAAUCUCCUCCGGCUAUUCCUGUGCAUUACACACUAGUAGUACUACUCCUAGCUAAUCUCGACUCUAAUACACUUCUAACUACUCCUUAGGCUGGUCAUAAUGGGCAAGAACAUAAGCUAGUAACUUCACACUUCUCUAGACUAUGUUACUACCACCAUAGUGGGUAGGAACAUCUAUGUAGUGUCGUGCAACGAUGUAUUUAUUAGGUUAUAGACUCAUUGUUUUUUGGAGUGUGUGAUGUUCCGGUAACUUAGCUAGUUACCACAAGCACCUCUCUCUUCACUAAAUACGUGCCACAUAAGCAAAGUUGUAUUGGAGUGUGUGAUGUUACUCAUAAAUUCCUCCCCACUGUGACCAGCCUUAGCACUUUGUUCAGUAGCUUUGCAUUUUUUUCUCUCUCUCUCAUGACUUGAAUUCUGUCCGUGAUUUUGCUAGUAGCCGGCCUAAAAAAAGCAAAAAAAGAGCAAAAAAAGUAAUAAAAAUAGUGAAAAAAAACAAACAAGGCCGCUUACAUAUGUUGAGAUUAAUCUCUUGCAAUUGAUAUUAUGGACAUUAUUUUGUUGCUCCAACCACCACAUCAUAUCAUUUGUAUCUGCUGGAGCCUUGUUCUUUAUCUGUGUGUCCCUCGCUACUUCAAUUAUCACAUAUCUUUGUUCAUGCGGUUUCAUUUACUUGUUUCAGUAUCUGGGCUUAGAUUAUUUCAUCUCUUACUAGUCGACUACCAGCACCAUUAGGAGUUUGAGCAAUUAUUCAACUUGCAUUACGUUUUGCUUAAUUUUGCCACAUAUUGUGAGUUGAGGAAACCUUCACCAAGCUCCACUCCCUAUAUUGUACCUUGUUCGGUCACUUAGUAAUCGCUAUAUCAAUCUUUUGAUAACUUUGUCAUAGCCAACGGCCGACAACCACUGCAACACAGUAAAAGCUGUUAAGAGCUUGGUAAUUGCUCGAGAGCCGAGGGACAUUUUCCACCGCCUGAUCGUAGUUACUGUAGGAGCAAUAUACUUGUGAUUUUGUUCUUGUUUCAUCCUAACCAUGGCAGGUGAUGAAGACAACAUGAAAGCUAUGGUGGCACGCCUGGAGGAGGAUGUGCAUGCAUACACCGAGCGGUUCACAUCGUUCGAGGGCGCACUUGAUAAGCGUCUCAAGUCGAUCGAGGAUAGCAACGUUCACUCAAACACUUGCAUCUAUUAUGAAACGUCUCGAUGCCCUUCUGGGUGCCGCCUCCACUGCCGGUCCGCGCCUUAUAGCCACCAACACAGGUCUACAAUGAGGUUGUCGGGUGCUCCCAGGGGACCCGAUGCACCCUCUUUCAUACAGUGAUGCCAUCGACCAGCCCCGUCCUUGCAACGCCAACUCGAUAGCCAGCCCGCAUGAGGACAUCCAAGAUGGCAACUAUGUUGGUGAUUCUGACGAUCUUGAUGUAGUUAACACUAACAAUGAUCAUGAUCAUCAUCCACUACGCAAUAAUCAACAAGGUAUGGGAUGCCACUAGCGUCCUCAGGUAUGUGGCCAUGACGACUCUUUGGGUAGAAUUAAAUUUGUCAUGCCUCCUUUUGACGGAAAAUAUGAUCUGGAUGUUUAUCUUGACUGCGAAUUAUUAGUUGAUCAAAAAUUUGCUUGCCAUGAUUUUCCUGAUGAUAAAAGAGUUAGGGCUGCAACUAGUGAGUUUAGUGAUUUUGCUUCUGUUUGGUGGAGAGAACAUUGUUGUGAACAUCCUAAUAAUAUUCCUUCCACUUGGGAAGUUUUGAAAUUAAUAAUGCGUCACCGUUUUGUUCCUAGACAUUAUGAACGUGACUUGCUAAAUAAACUACAACGCUUGAACCAAGGAUCUAAAUUUUUGGAAGACUAUUAUCAAGAAUUGGAAAUGGGCAUGUUACAUUGUGGUUUAGUUGAGACCGAGGAAGCCUCUAUGGCUAGGUUCUUGGAUGGAUUGAAUAGAGAAAUAUAUGACAUACUUGCUUAUAAGGAUUAUAAUUCAAUGACCCAUUUAUUCCAUCUUGCUAUACAUGGUGAACAUGAAGUGCAGGGUCGCUCGAGAAUGCGUUCUAAUUUUUCUGCAGGUCGUACUUCCACAUGGGCACCGUGCACCACUGCUACCCCGUCCACUCGACCUCUAGAACAACACCUGCAACCUCUCGACCGGGCCUACUUCAUCAACUUCAGCAUCACACACUUCGGCACCAUUGAAAAGUACUACACCAACUCCAACAAAAAAUUUGUCAUCAUCGUCCGCUUCCUCCAAAAGAACAAACGUUAUCCAGUGCCACACUUGUAAGGGAUUUGGCCAUGUCAUGAAGGAGUGUCCUAAUAAGCAUGUAUUGAUCAUUCGUGAAGACGGCAAGUACGACUCUGCUAGUGAUUUUGAUGAAGACACAUAUGCCUUGCUUGCUGCGCAUGAAGACGAUGACACAAGACUGGCGCAAGAGGAAGAACAUGUGAUCACCACCGCCGCCGAUAAGCACAUGAGUCUUAUAUCACAUCGUGUACUUAGUGCUCAUAUUGUCAAAGCAAAGAAGGCAACGUCACAACCUCUUCCACAUCAAAGGAGUCGUCAAGGAGCAUUCCGUUCGGAUAAUCAUUGAUGGAGGGAGUUGUAACAAUUUAGCAAGCAUUCACAUGGUGGAGAAGCUCUCCCUACCUUCCCUGACAACAUCCACAACCUUACUACAUUCAAUGGUUUAAUGAUGGUGGAAAGUUAAAGGUAACACGCAUGGCGAGAGUUCCUUUUUCUUUAGGUUCGUACCAUGACCCUAUUAAUUGCAAUAUUGUGCCUAUGCAAGCUUGUUCUAUGUUACUAGGAAGGCCAUGGAAGUAUGAUAAACAAUGUUUACAUGAUGGUAGAACUAAUCAGUACACUCUCACACAUAAAGGAAAGAAAAUCAUUCUACACCCUAUGUCUCCUGAGCAAAUUUUUAAAAGAUGGUCUUGCUAGGGCUAGUAGAAUUACAAAUACUGAGCAUACUAAAUCUGAAAAUCAGAAAGUUGUUGAUGAUGUGAACAAUUUAAUAAGAUGCACAAAUCUGAUCCUAGCACAUUUAAAGAAAUUAAAUUGAAAGGUGCUUCUUUCUUAGCUACACAUGCUGAAAUGUUUGAGUUAGAUGCUCAUACUGAUGAAUGUUAUGCUCUUAUUUUCAAGAAGUUUUGUUUUGAUUUGAGGAUAUGCCUUCUUCUUUGCCUCCUGCUGUCGCUAAUCUUUUGUAGGGGUAUCAUGAUGUUUUCCCAAAGGAAAUACCACCGGGGCUGCCACCUAUGAGAGGAAUUGAACACCAAAUGGACUUGAUACCUGGCGCCUCAUUACCCAACCGUGCACCGUACCAAACUAAUACAGAGGAGACUAAGGAGAUUUAGUGACAAGUUCAAGAACUACUCGAAAAAGGUUACAUUCGUGAAUCCCUUAGUCCAUGUGCUGUACCAAUUUUACUUGUUCCUAAAAAGAUGGUACUUCACGUAUGUGUGUUGAUUGUAGAGCCAUCAAUAAUAUUACAAUUCGAUAUCGUCAUCCUAUUCCUAGAUUAGAUGACAUGCUUGAUGAACUCAGUGGCUCAGUUGUGUUUUCUAAAGUGGACUUGCGUAGUGGCUACCAUCAAAUUCGUAUGAAACCAGGUGAUGAAUGGAAAACUGCUUUCAAAACUAAAUUUGGUUUAUAUGAGUGGUUAGUUAUGCCUUUUGGAUUGACUAAUGCACCUAGUACUUUCAUGGGACUAAUGAAUGAAGUUUUGCAAGCUUUCAUUGGAUGAUUUGUGGUAAUAUACUUUGAUGAUAUUUUGAUUUAUAGUAAGUCACUAGAGGAACACUUAGACCAUUUGCGUGCUGUUUUUUCUACUCUGCGUGGUGCACAUUUAUUUGGUAAUAUCAAGAAGUGCACUUUUUGCGUGGAUCGAGUUGCUUUUCUUGGCUCUGUCGUGACAGGCAUGGAAUUGAAGUUGAUAAAGCAAGGUUGAAGCGAUCCAGAGUUGGCUGAUCCCUAACUCGGUCACACAGGUAUGAAGUUUUCUUGGACUUGCUGGGUUCCACCGGCGGUUUGUGAAGGAUUUUAGUACCAUCGCAGCGGCGCUCAACGAGCUCACAAAGAAAAAUGUGCCAUUUGUUUGGAGCGACGCACAAGUGGUAGCCUUCACUAUUCUUAAAGAUAAGCUUACACAAGCCCCCUUGCUGCAAUUACCUGAUUUUAAUAAGAUGUUUGAAUUAGAAUGUGAUGCUAGCGACAUUGGUUGAGGCGGUGUUUUAUUUCAAGAAGGCAAACCAGUAGCAUAUUUUAGUGAAAAAGUCAGUGGGCCUAGUUUCAAUUAUUCAACAUAUGAUAAAGAACUUUAUGCACUAGUUCGGACUAUGGAGACAUGACAACAUUAUAUAUGGCCUAAGGAGUUUGUCAUAUAUUCCGAUCAUGAAUCACUCAAGCAUAUUAGAAGUCAAAGAGAAUUGAAUCGUAGACAUGCAAAAUGGGUUGAAUUUAUUGAAUCUUUUCUUUAUGUUAUUAUAAGAACAAGAAAGGGAAGGAUAAUGUUAUUGCCGAUGCAUUAUCUAGACGCUAUACCAUGUUAUCACAACUAGACUUCAAAUUUUUCGGACUUGAAACUAUAAAAGUGCAAUACACUAAUGAUGUCAAUUUUAAAUAUAUAUUGCUCAAUUGUAGAGAGGGUAGAACUCGGAACAAGUUCAUCGUUAGUGACGGAUUUGUUUUCGUGCUAAUAAGCUAUGAAUCCCAGAUAGCUCUGUUCGUCUUUUGUUGUUACAGGAGGCGCAUGGAGGUGGACUUAUGGGACAUUGUGGCAUCAAGAAGACAUAAGACAUCCUUGCUGGUCAUUUCUUCUGGCCGAAAAUGAGAAGGGAUGUGGAGAGAUAUGUUGUACACUGCACGACAUGCCAAAAAGCUAAUUCACGAUUGAACCCACAUGGUUCAUAUAUGCCUCUUUCUGUUCCUAGCACUCCUUGGGAAGAUAUAUCUAUGGACUUUGUAUUAGGGCUGCCUAGGACACAACGGGGGCGGGAUAGUAUAUUUGUGGUUGUUGAUCGAUUCUCUAAGAUGGCACAUUUUAUACCUUGUCAUAAAAGUGACGAUGCUACUCACGUUGCUGAUUUGUUCUUUGGAGAAGUAGUUCGUUUACAUGGUGUGCCAAAUAUAAUUGUUUUUGAUCGUGACACAGAAUUUCUUAGCCACCUUUGGAGGGUGUUGUGGACAAAAUUGGGGACUAAGCUUUUAUUUAGUACUAUAUGUCAUCCUCAAAUAGAUGGUCAAACUGAAAUGGUUAAUCGAAUAUUGUCUACUAUGCUUAGGGCUGUUUUGGAAAAGAACUUAAAAAUGUGGGAAGAAUGUUUACCUCAUGUAGAGUUUGGUUAUAAUCGUUCAGUUCAUUCUAGCACAAAGUUAUUCCCUUUUGAGAUUGUUUAUGGAUUUAUACCUCAGUCGCCUAUUGAUUUAUUACCUAUUCCAUCUUCGGAGAAGGUAAACCUUGAUGCUAAAGAACGUGCUGAGCUAGUAUUGAAAAUGCAUGAGAUGACUAAGAAAAUUAUUGAAUGCAUGAAUGAUAAGUAUAAACUUGCUGGUAGUCAGGGUAGGAAAAGUCUUGUGUUUGAACCAAGUGAUUUAGUAUGGUUACAUUUGCGAAAAGGCCGCUUCCCUGAUUUACGGAAGUCAAAAUUAAUGCCUCGUGCGGAUGACCCUUUUAAGGUGAUAGAAAAAAAUAAUGAGAAUGCGUGUAAGCUUGAUUUGCCUGCAGAAUUUCGGGUUAGUCCCACAUUUAAUGUUGUGGACUUAAAACCUUAUUUGGGAGAGGAUGAGAGUUACCGUCGAGGGCGACUUCGGUUCAAGAAGGGGGAGUUGCAUCCACCGCGACUCCUACAUCAGUUAUUCCAUUUGGACCUAUGACUAGAGCACGCGCCAGCCAGAUAAAUGGCCAGGUGCUAUCGCUCAUUUGUACAUAUGAUUUAACUAACGAGAAUAUGAUAUUACACUCAUCUUCAGAUUUACUUGUACUUAGGAACGAAGGUGUUGGAGAGAUGACGAGAAAAAGCCGCAUGCAGAUGGAAGAUGGAAAAUGUUGCACAUUGAUUCCACAAGCAGCAGUACUAUUGACAUGCGAGAAGCUACCUAGCCACCUACGUGCUCAAGUGCAAAAGGAGGAGAAGGAAUAUUAGGCCUCCUGGACCAAAGACGACCACAUUCGCAUGCAGCCCACACCACCAACAGUUAAACAAGGAAAUCAUCUACAUGUGGGUCGGCUCAUGAUUAUGAUUUCCUUCGAGUCGUAGCCGACCAGGAUUCAUCUACGCGCAGGUAGUGGCCGCACCUAAUAAAUAGUUAGCUUGUGUUAUGUUUAGACUCGGGUUGUAUUGUAUUGUUUAGCCAUUAUUACAAUCCGCUCUAUGAGAUAUGUAGGACUACUGCCUUGUCAGAUCCACAGUGAAAUCCCAACUUUUGAUCUAGUUCGUGUGCUUAAUUUUUCAUUCGCAAUUUCAGAUUGCAAUUCAUCUUUGUUCUUGCCGGUUCUUUCAUUGCUUGCAAGAACUCAAACCUUGUUGUUCAGGUUGAUCGUGCCUACGGCAAGGUCAAUAACCAUCGGAGAUUGGUUUAGCGAUUGUCAAGGCGUAUCAUUAGGUACAGUAUAGCCGGAUCGUCAAGGUCAGAAUCCACCAAAUUGAUAGUUAUCCUCACUCUCAUCGAAAGAUCAGGCCACCGUCACAUCAAGUGGUAUCUGUUUUCGGGUUCAUCGGGGAGGGAUUUGCAGUUUUAGUAGAUCAGUUUAUUUUUCUGUCCUAUAAACCCACGAAAUGGCCAAAAAAAUUUAGAUUAGUUCAUCCAUUGCAACUAUCUUUUUAGCCUUUACCAAUUUUUGCAUCUAAUAUUUGCGUAGUUGAAUUUUUGGUUGCAUUCAUCCUAGAAUUAGUGAUGGUUUAGAUUAGCUGGGAGAGAAAAUCAUCUACUAGAUCAAUCUGUUUUUGUCCACCCUCAAAUUCUCUAUCACAACGCUCGUCCUCAGUAAAAAAAGAGAAUAUAGCGAAUCAGGCAUUGAUUUUCAUUGCAGAUUCCCGUAACCCAACCAUACAGGCUUUCCGUUUCAUGACCGGCCAGACAACUGGGCACAUCGUGUCUGCUGCCCCGCGCCGCAUCACCACAGGCUAACACGCCAGCCGCCAGACAUCCCACGCUGGUUGUUUCACUCCACGCGUUUCACCACAAAUCUCCUUCGGUUAUUCCUAUGCGUUACACACUAGUAGUACUACUCCUAGCUAAUCUCAACUCCAAUACACUUCUAGCUAGCUCCGUAGCACUUUGUUCAGUAGCUUUACAUUUUUUUCUCUCUCUUGUGACUUGAAUUCUAUCCGUGAUUUUGCUAGCAGCUGGCCUAAAAAAAAAGCAAAAAACAGAGCAAAAAAAGUAAUAGAAAAAAACAGUGAAAAAAAACAAACAAGGCCGCUUACACGUAGUAGCCACUCCCUCCGCACUGUCAACACGUGCUACACCACAGGACCACACAACAGCCAGCCCUGACGGUUGUUCACCUGGCCGAAUGCCCCUGGCCCACUGCACGGCCUAACCAGUAUCGUCGGUGAUGGCCAGGGGAGCAUGGGAGGAGGGUCCUGAGCGGCUAAGUUUACUCCUCCAAUGCCUCCCCCGCAAGCGGCUCGGGAGGGAGACAUGAAAGGGGAAAGAGCUUGUAUGGGAUCUGGUAAACGUGUACAUAGUUAGAACACACAAGCAUGCUUGUUCAAAAAAAAGUCUCAUUUUCAAAAAAUUUAGCAAGCUUGUUCUAAAAAAGUCUCAUGUUUAUACUAUUUUCAUAUUUACUGUUCAACUCGGUUUAUAUGAGCUGGGGAGCGAAAGGCCUGCUCUGUUUUGGAUGCUAUUCUCUGUUCAGUAAUGUGGUAGCUCAUGCAUUUGGCUUGGGAGUGAGAAAUGUGUAGAUCAUGGUUUGCCACACAGGCUAACACGUGGAUAUUGCCUUGGAAGAUCUUAGAGAUUACUAGAAGCAAAUGUGGCCCUUGCCGCGCCGCUCUUCUUGUGGGACCUAUCUUUUACCGUGUUGAGUCCGGGUCACUGAUGGCUGAUCACCAAGCGAUGAAUGAAGAGUUUUUCCAAGGAUACGUCAAAGAUUGAUGUAUCGAGAUCAUAGAUAGAAAAUGCCUAGAAAGGCAGACAAUUUUACAACUUAGCCACGGCUAUGAAAGCCAAUGUUUGACAUGCCGAUUACUCACUAGUAGCCCACUCAUCUACUCUAACAGGGAGUGAUCCCGCCUCUCGAAGUAGCCCUGCUGCCCUCCAGUCUUGCCCUUCUAGAUCAAUCUUCUUGAGGAGCUCACUUGUGGAGGCCGCCGCUCCAUUGAACACUACAUCGUUCCUGUGCUUCCACAACAUCCAAGCCACCAAUGCAAUGAUGGUCCAUGUCUCCUUACUAAGUUUUGGCUGCGGGUUAACGGAGGUCCACCAUUCCACUAGAUUGCCAUCUACCCUUGGAAACCAAGUUAGUUUGUCCUACUGGUCGAGAAUGGAGAGCCACACUUGUCUAGCAAAGACGCAGCCGAGAAGGAUGUGAUUGAUUGUCUCCGGCUCUUGUUCACAGAAGGGGCAAGUUGAAGGAUGCGGUAGGUGCAGACGCACAAGCCUGUCAACCGUCCAACACCUCUCCCGAGCCGCCAGCCACGCGAAGAAAUUGCACGUCGCCAUCGCUCUUGACCGCCAGAUUUGCAUGGCUCCAGCGGCCUCCACUCUCCCAACAAAGAACACCCGGUAGGACGAUCUCGCCGAAAAGCACCCAUUUUGUUCCCACGCCCAGACCAAUCUGUCUUCAGUGCCAUCCAUGAGCUGAAUGUGUUGGGUUAUGUCCACAACCUGUAGGAACUCGGUCAGUGGUUGGGGGCUCAUGUUAGGUGACAUGUCUAGCCACCAACCUUCAGCUAUGGCUUGUCUCACUGUUCUCUCCCACGCUCUCCUUUGACUGCAGCGAAUAGGUUUGGCAUGAGAUCUUGGAUUCUACCAUCCCAUGACCACCAAUCUGUCCAGAACAAUGCUAGCUUUGCUUUGAGCGCUGCGUUGAGAAGGCACAAGUUUAGAAUGCCAAGGCCGCCGUACUCCAUUGGCAUGCACACCUAAUCCCAUGCCACUAGACAAUGACAGCCAUGUACAUCUCGAUGUCCCUUCCACAGAAAACCGAGGCAUAUCUUAUUUGCUGCUUCGAUGGUUUUCUCUGGCAGAUCUAGAGCCACCAUCGCAUGUAUGGGCAUGGACGCUAGCGUGGUCUUUACUAGAUCCAGACGCCCAGCCCUGAAGAGCAGUCUCGCUUGCCACGCGAGAAGCCGACCGGUCAUUCUAUCCACCAAGUGCUGCAAUUGCGAUGCCGAUAUCUUGCGCAAGCCCAAAGGCAUCCCGAGGUACCGGCAAUGCCAUCCGGUCACCUGGAAUCCCAACUGAUCGGCUAUCCACUGCACUAGCACCUCGAACAACAAAUCGGGUGUGCGGAACACUUAACCAUUUUCGUGCGAAGUCCCGAGCUGUACCAAAAUCUGUGAGCAACACAACACAUGCCCUAAGGCUUCGGCGUUCUGGCUUGAGAAAAGUGACUACAUCAUCCACAUAUAUUGUUGUCCUGUGCCAUAGCCCGGCUGGUGCAAGUGGAGUGAGCACACCAUCUGAAGCCGCACGUUGAAGUAGGUGGUGAAGGGCCUCCAUGACCAUAACAAAAAGCAGGGGGACAUAGGGUCUCCCUGCCGGAGAUCUUGCCAGUUAUAUAUGACCUCGCCUGGUAUUUCAUUGAGCAGUACCCUUGUUGAGGAGGAUGCAAGGAGACCGGCUACCCAAGAAAACCAUUUUGGGCUGAACCCAAGUUGCUUCAAAACCUCCAUCAAGAACGCCCAGUCCACAGUGUCAAAUGCUUUUGUGAUGUCUAGCUCAAGCAUGACCGAAGGUGUCGAGGAAAUAUGUAGCUUCUUUGCCAUGCCUUGUACCAUCAUGUAAUUAUCAUGUAGGCAUCUUCCUCUAAUGAAUGCACUCUGGUGAGCACCGACCAAGUGUGGCAUAUCGCCAAUAACCCGUGUCACUGGGACCUUGGCAGCCAGCUUGGGGAAGCUAUGAAUUAGGCUGAUUGGGCUGUAAUCCUCGACCUCAAGCGCGGUGGCAGAUUUUGGCAAAAGAGUGAUGAAUGUCUGAUUAAUGGAAGUCAUCCUACGAAAGUCUAUGGCCCCAAAUGAAUGGAAAGCUGCCAACACAUCGCCCUUAAUGACAAGCUAACAUGCGACAGAGAACCGGGCCGAGAACCCGUCCGGGCCCGGCGCCUUGUCGAAGUCUUGCACACGGAUCGCCUCCCAAAUCUCCUCAUGUGUGAACAAUCCCUCCAGAUGUGUCAUGUUAAAAGUUAGCAUUCCUAGCUCUCCUAGGUCCAGCGUGUAUGCCCGGUCCGGCGCCACUCCAAGCAGAUUGGCAAAAAAGGAGUCUACCGCCUCUGCAAUAGCGUCGUGAUCCCACGUCAUGAUGUCAUCUACUUUCAACUUUGAAAUGUAGUUCUUCCAUGUCCUAUAGCUUGCAUGCGCAUGAAAAAACUUUCGUGCAUGCGUCUCCAUUUCUCAACCAAUUAAAACGGGACCACUGCCUCGUGAUUGAGCGCUCUAGCGAUGCUAAUCUGAGGAGUUUCCGCUUGAUCAUUCGCCGUAGUUCCAUCUCAGUAGGGGAUAGCGAUCGUGUCUCCAUGGCGACAUCAAGCCGCAAAAUCACCUCGUUUGCAAUGGUCAACUGUUGUUUGAUGCUUCCCACAUAUUUAUCACUCCAGCUCAUCAGUUUGUUUGCGGUGGCCUUCAGCUUCAUAGAAAGCCUCUUGAAUGGGUUUUCCACGUCCGGAUGGCUCUCCCAGGCUUAUUGAACCACCUCAUGGAAGCCUUCAAUCUUUGUCCAAAAUUUCUGAAAGUGAAACCGCUUGCCUCGUCGAAGGUCGGCCUCCAGGAUGAUAUGUAGGGGGCAGUGAUAAGAUGUGCUAGUACUGAGAGCUGUGAGGAAAGACUGCAGGUGUAAUGGUUCCCAAUCUAUCGAAACCAAAACCCUAUCGAGCUUCUCGAGGGUAGCCUCUUGCCUGUCAUUGGACUACGUGUAUCUCCGGCCAUUGAGAUAUAGAUCUUUUGGGUCCAAGUCCGAGAUGUAGCGUCUAAACCGUCCCAUCAUCUGACGAUUUAUUCUUUCGUUCACUACGGCAGGAUGGUCCAAACGCUACAGUCCACUCAGAGACCCUUCGAUGAAACUGUGUGUGAUGCAUUAAUCGCAAACGAUGAUGUAAAAUAACCAAAAAAAUGAUACAAAAUGUUUGUGAUGGUGGAGACAUCAAAUACGAUCUAGAUUGUAGUAGCGUGUGUAAUAUGUGGCAUAUGGUUAAUCCAGAAGAACUGUUUGCGAUGAGUCAGAACAACAAAAACAGUCAGCCAUAUAAAGGUGUGUGCGAUAUACGGCAUACAGUUCACUCGGAUGAACUGUUUGCGAUUAGGGAACACAACAGAAACGGUCAGCGAGAUCAAGGUGUGUGCGAUAUACGGCAUAUAGUUCAUCGAGAUGAACUAUUUUUGAAUAAGCAACACAACAAAUACGGUUCAACUUAACAAGAUGUGUGUGAUAUGUGGCAUACAAUUCACAUAGAUGAACUAUUUGCUAUGAACCAAAAGAACACAAACGAUUCGUGUAAACAAGAUAUGUGUGAUACGCAGCAAACAACCACUCGGAUGAACUAUUUGCAAUGAGAAAAUAAAACAAAGACGGUUAUUAGAGUUAAUUCGUGUGCGAUUCUGUGUGUAGAAAAAACUUUGAAAAAUGCAAACCAGUUGCUUGCAAUGGCUAGGAGUAUCGCACAUGAUGCGCGUGCAAGUACUCGUGUGCGAUGAUUAGUAAGUUACACAUAUGUUUCCUUAAGUUAACACGUGUGUCGUAACACGUGACACCACAUACGGUUGUCUGGUUGUGUGCUCCACUUAGUCUUGCCGCGCUCCAGGAAGGCUUCCCACGCUCCACAAGGGUGAUUUGUAAAAUCCCCUAGCUAGCUGCUUGCUAUAAAUAACCACAACAAUGGCCACCGGUAACGACUCGCUACUGAUCCACUUGCUAGCUAGUUACCCACACAUACCGACAUACCCCCAACAGCCAACGACAGGAUGGAGUUGUGCGACGGGAAUGGGCACCGGAGAUCAUAGUUUAGGUUAAUUAAUUAUAUAUCCGGAGUAUAAUUAAUUAACAUAAUCUGAGAUCAAAUAAGUGAAGCUUCCCCAACGUGAUCGUGCGCUGGCCCCAACCGCUAGCAGAGCACGCACGCUGGGACGCAACCCGAGCGUGCCUUGGCGCCUAAACGGUAAACAAAGCGCACAGAGGGAUGCGACCCGAGGGUGCCUUGGCGCCUAAACGGAGAGCGGAACACGUAGAGGGAUGCGAGCAGAGCACGCCGCGACCGCCUAAACGACGAGUAAACACAUGCAUAAUUAUUUCAUACAGCAGAUGAACAUAGCCGGGAAUAGGCGUCCAAUAAUAUUAUUUUUGAUGACAUGCAUUAAUAUAUUCUUAGUUAAAUCCAAGGUAAAAGUUUGGUACUAUAAAAUACGAAGGGGGACAAUAAACCAUGACAGAGGUAGUACCUAUAUGAACACAAACGCCCAGUACAGAAAUUAAUGACAUUAUAAAUGUGUCUCGCAUUCCACACCAAUGCUUCCCGCCUCUUCCCUCAUCAGUUUCCCGCCACCAGCAAGUGGCUUGCUCCAUAUGACCCAGGCGGCAACGCACCGUAUCGACACUAUGCAUAGAUCUAGUCCACACCCAUCUACCAUUAGUUAUUCCAAGCAUGCUAGGCACUGAUGAAUGCUUCAAUGUCGACCCUUUCAUGCAUUACACCUUCGGCAAGGAGAACGAGCCAGAGCAGGUCGGGGAGCAAGAGCUUCAUUGGCCGGUGCUGGAGCCAUGGCCCAUCGGCAGCGAUAUUGCCGUGACAGUCCUUGAGGGUGCAAUGUACAUAUUGCAGAGGAAGUGUGAUGAAUAGUUUGCCAUCCACCAUGCAAAAGAUCCAGAGCUGCUAGGCGGCAUGAUCGAUGACCCACCCGAAGAGCCACCAUUACCAAUGCUCAUCGAGAGCCUAAUGCCCUGCAAGGAAUGGGUAGAGGACCUCUGCGAUUCAAUUAUGAGAUAGCCAGCCUACGGCUUCAUCAUUGUCGGCGGCGGUCGUGUCAACCUCGAUCCCGAUGAUGUGGUCGCUAGGCUUGAGCGCAUCCAUGGCUGAGUUGACAUCCCCGACGAAGUAGAACAUCGCCAAUGUGGUAUCUUGAGGAUGCAGGUGAUGGAUGGAAUUUGCUACCAGGGCAGACACAUGGAAAUGGAGUGGUUCCGCGGGUGUGUUAUGCGCGCAAUUGAAUGCUAUCAAGCUGUUCUUGAAGAGGCCCAGCAGCCCCAAGAGCCUCCCAGCACCAGCAGCUCCGUAGGCGGAGACGGGUAACGUGGCUGCGGGUCGGGACACUUAGAAUGAAUGGCAACAAGGGUGCUAUGCUGAUCAUGGAGUCCGAGAAGACAGUCAUCGGAAGGCCGCCAGCUCAACCUUUUAGCCUAUAUUUUAUUAUAAUUGUAUGCAAAUAUCGCAUAUCGACAUUUUAAGUCACUAAGCAUAUGUAGCUCGUGUGUGUUUUGGGCAUUGACGCAUGUGGCAUUUUAAAUUAUCCUGAAUUUGUAAGACACUAUUAACCAUUGCCAUUGUAAAUUUGCCUGAACGAUGAGUAGAGUGCGCGUAGGGAUGCCAGAGAGGAGCGCGCCAUGAUUUUCUCAAUGGAGAGCAAAAUGCGUGGACAAAUGCGAGUAGAGCACGCCGCGUCCAUCUCAAUGACGAGCAGAGCGCGCGCAUGCGGCAGGGGGGAGGAGAAGAGCGUGCCGCGGCCACCUAAAAGGCAAGCAACCACACCUGCGUAUUGCAAUUCUGGUCAACCUUUUGGCACCCCGUGGGAGGCGCUACGGCCCAUCCAUCGGACAUGAUGGUGAUAGCUAGACCAUGUGUGAUAGUGGGCAGACACAUACAUGUCCAAGAAAGCGGGCCCACGUACGCUAUCUGGGAACCGUUUUGGGCUUCAAUCCCAGAACCAUCAAUAAAUUUUGAGUUUGUUUCUCGUCACAUUCCAGAGUACCACGUAAUAAGUUACUGCAAAUCUGGUCACACUGAUCCAACCUAAACAUGUUCCCACUUAGCACUGGGUUAUAAAAACCACCCACUCGAAAUUAGUUUACAAUUCCUCUCCUCAUCACACAAAAAAGAGGUCUUUGCCAUGACCGGUUGUGGGGACCCCAACUCAUAAGUCGAGAUCACCGAAUGCACGUGUACAGUGAUCCCGGAGAUCAAUGCUCACUAAACACACAUAAGUUGAAUACAGGAGUCUUACAUCCAUACAUACCGUCUUACACAAGUUAUGACCGUUAUGGUCAAGUCUUACAUAGAUAAAGCCUUAAGGAUUGAACAUCAAAUAAAGCACAAGCAGCGGAAAUCUUCGUCUAUAAGUAGAACCCAUGCCAUCUGCCUUAACCCUACAGGCAUUCUGACUGGGAAAGCGUCCUAUCUCGCAUGUUGUCACCAAAGAACUCUUCUUCAUAUCAAGAUCUUUCAUACCCGGCCAAUUAAAUAACCAGUGGCAAGGCAAUGAGUACUUUGAAUGUAGGCUCUACUGCUAAAUUGGCAUUUUUGCGCAAAGCUAGUUUUUCUCAUGCAAGUAUGAUCAACAUUUAUCAAGGAUAUGAAUGCUUCUGCAGCAAGUGUCAGGAGGUUACAGACAUCAACAUCGAGAAAGAGUUAUAAACAACUCAUGCUCAAGCUCAUCGUGACUUCCUCAUGAAUCACAUUAUCAAUAUUACCAAACCGUGUUGUUUGUCAGAAACAUAUGGCCAUAGUCUAAGCAGCACUACCCAACUGUCCUUGACCGUGGACACGACUAUUUGAAUAGUUUGACACUCUGGAGAGGUUGCACACUUUACCCACAAGAUCCGGGAAGCUUUCAUGUCAUCCACAACCCGCGGUACCUCAAGUACCAGGGGUAAGCACCCGAUCACUACCUUUCCCUUGCCGUGACUAACAAGGAGUCCACUCGAUUGGUACCAGCCCUCGUGCCAACAUUAUCACAUAAUAAAUUUUUGUGGAUCCACGCUCCCAUAUUAAUCAUAUAACACAAGCACGGGGUACCAGCGAUGUGUCUGGUGCCCUGUAAAAACAGUCAAGGCCACACUACCUGGCACGACCCCGUCCCGAGAGUGAUCAUGCCACUCUCGUCAAUAGUAAUGCGGGCAUUCAUGUUAGCACGAACUAGGUAAUCAAUAAUGUCCUUUUGCAUAUAAGGGUAGAGUGGUUGCACAUGUAGGGUUGGGACGGUCAACAAAUCUUAAAUCUAAUCCGUCUUUGUAAACAAAACUUUCAUCAAGCCUCGGUACACUACCUAUCCACCAACUAGUGACCUAGUUCAUCAUCAUCUCCCAGGGGCAUUAGUGGCACCCACUGGGCUAUUUGCAAGUAUGUCAAACCACACUUGUUUCUUUCCAUGCAUAACUCUGACCCAUUUUGCAUAGCCAACUACUAUAGCAUAUUUCUACAACCCACCAACACAGCUCUAAACAAGGAUAGAGUCAUGAACAAUGUAAGUAUCAACGGGGUAUGCACCGGAGGCAAGCCUAGCAAGGUUGCCAUUCAAGAUAUCAUGCAUUCAACAAUAAGGGAAAGAAAUGCUAUUAUGAUAAAAAGGGUUCUUCAUGGUCAAAGGGCUGCUUGCUUGUCUUAACCAAGUCCCUGGGUCUUCAAAUGUCUCUGGUCCAACUCCUUCAUCAACGUUGUAAUCUAACGUUGCAAAAAUAACGGCACAAAGUAAGACCAUAACACAAAAAAAAAA